UACGUAGGGGGCUAGCGUUGUCCGGAAUCAUUGGGCGUAAAGCGCGUGUAGGCGGCCCGGUAAGUCCGCUGUGAAAGUCGGGGGCUCAACCCUCGAAUGCCGGUGGAUACUGUCGGGCUAGAGUGCGGAAGAGGCGAGUGGAAUUCCUGGUGUAGCGGUGAAAUGCGCAGAUAUCAGGAGGAACACCAAUUGCGAAAGCAGCUCUCUGGGACGGUACUGACGCUGAGACGCGAAAGCGUGGGGAGCGAACAGG
rnacentral:rRNA from 1 species